GCAAACUUGGUCAUUUAGAGGAAGUAAAAGUCGUAACAAGGUUUCCGUAGGUGAACCUGCGGAAGGAUCAUUAACGAGAGAAGUGGGUGCAGCGUGAGCUGCGCACAUGAUGAGCACACAAUGUGUGUGCACAUGAACGCCGUGUCAUUCCCUCCGGGGUAUGGCACAGGCACAUGAACGCCGUGUCAUUCUCCAAUGGCACAGGCACAUGAACGCGUGUAUGUGUGAUAUAUUGUGAUGUGUGUAUAAAAUGGUACAACUUUUAACAAUGGAUCUCUUGGCUCCUGCAUCGAUGAAGAACGCAGC
rnacentral:misc_RNA from 1 species